rnacentral:rRNA from 1 species
CCUACGGGAGGCAGCAGUGGGGAAUAUUGGGCAAUGGGCGCAAGCCUGACCCAGCAACGCCGCGUGAAGGAAGAAGGCUUUCGGGUUGUAAACUUCUUUUCUCAGGGACGAAGAAAGUGACGGUACCUGAGGAAUAAGCCACGGCGAACUACGUGCCAGCAGCCGCGGUAAUACGUAGGUGGCAAGCGUUAUCCGAAUUUACUGGGGGUAAAGGUCGUGUAGGCGGGACUGCAAGUCAGAUGUGAAAACCACGGGCUCAACCUGUGGCCUGCAUUUGAAACUGUAGUUCUUGAGUACUGGAGAGGCAGACGGAAUUCCUAGUGUUGCGGUGAAAUGCGUAGAUAUUAGGAGGAACACCAGUGGCGAAGGCGGUCUGCUGGACAGCAACUGACGCUGAGGCGCGAAAGCGUGGGGAGCAAACAGGAUUAGAUACCCGGGUAGUC